UUAAGUUCAGCGGGUAUUCCUACCUGAUCCGAGGUCAAACUUUCAGAAGUGGGGGGUUUAACGGCGUGGCCGCGCUGCGAUCCAGUGCGAGUGUUGCUACUACGCAGAGGAAGCUACAGCGAGACCGCCACUGGAUUUAGGAGACGGCCGCCCAGUAAAGGGUGUGGCCGAUCCCCAACACCGCCCCCGACAGAAGCCGG
rnacentral:misc_RNA from 1 species